AGUGAACGCUGGCGGUAGGCCUAACACAUGCAAGUCGAACGGCAGCACAGUAAGAGCUUGCUCUUACGGGUGGCGAGUGGCGGACGGGUGAGGAAUACAUCGGAAUCUACUUUUUCGUGGGGGAUAACGUAGGGAAACUUCCGCUAAUACCGCAUAUGACCUACGGGUGAAAGCAGGGGAUCUUCGGACCUUGCGCGAUUGAAUUAGCCGAUGUCGGAUUAGCUAGUUGGCGGGGUAAAGGCCCACCAAGGCGACGAUCCGUAGCUGGUCUGAGAGGAUGAUCAGCCACACUGGAACUGAGACACGGUCCAGACUCCUACGGGAGGCAGCAGUGGGGAAUAUUGGACAAUGGGCGCAAGCCUGAUCCAGCCACACCGCGUGAGUGAAGAAGGCCUUCGGGUUGUAAAGCCCUUUUGUUGGGAAAGAAAAGCAGCAGGUUAAUACCCCGCUGUUCUGACGGUACCCAAAGAAUAAGCACCGGCUAACUUCGUG
rnacentral:rRNA from 1 species